rnacentral:rRNA from 1 species
UACAGAGGGUGCGAGCGUUGUCCGGAAUUACUGGGCGUAAAGAGCUCGUAGGUGGUUUGUCGCGUUGUUCGUGAAAACUCACAGCUUAACUGUGGGCGUGCGGGCGAUACGGGGCAGACUGGAGUACUGCAGGGGGAGACUGGAAUUCCUGGUGUAGCGGUGGAAGUGCGCAGAUAUCAGGAGGAACACCGGUGGCGAAGGCGGGGUCUCUGGGCAACAACUGACGCUGGAGGAGCGAAAGCGUGGGGAGCGAACAGG